AAAGAAGAACACGUAUGAGAGUAACUGUUACAUACGUUGACGGUAUUUAACCAGAAAGUCACGGCUAACUACGUGCCAGCAGCCGCGGUAAUACGUAGGUGGCAAGCGUUAUCCGGAUUUAUUGGGCGUAAAGAGAGUGCAGGCGGUUUUCUUAAGUCUGAUGUGAAAGCCUUCGGCUUAACCGGAGAAGUGCAUCGGAAACUGGAUAACUUGAGUGCAGAAGAGGGUAGUGGAACUCCAUGUGUAGCGGUGGAAUGCGUAGAUAUAUGGAAGAACACCAGUGGCGAAGGCGGCUACCUGGUCUGCAACUGACGCUGAGACUCGAAAGCAUGGGUAGCGAACAGGAUUAGAUACCCUGGUAG
rnacentral:rRNA from 1 species